rnacentral:rRNA from 1 species
GCGUAAUACGGAGGGGGUUAGCGUUGUUCGGAAUUACUGGGCGUAAAGCGUACGUAGGCGGAUUAAUAAGUUAGAGGUGAAAUCCCAGGGCUCAACCCUGGAACUGCCUUUAAAACUGUUAGUCUUGAGAUCGAGAGAGGUGAGUGGAAUUCCAAGUGUAGAGGUGAAAUUCGUAGAUAUUUGGAGGAACACCAGUGGCGAAGGCGGCUCACUGGCUCGAUACUGACGCUGAGGUACGAAAGUGUGGGGAGCAAACAGGAUUAGAUACCCUGGUAGUCCACACCGUAAACGAUGAAUGCCAGACGUCAGCAAGCAUGCUUGUUGGUGUCACACUAACGGAUUAAGCAUUCCGCCUGGGGAGUACGGUCGCAAGAUUAAAACUCAAAGGAAUUGACGGGGGCCCGCACAAGCGGUGGAGCAUGUGGUUUAAUUCGACGCAACGCGCAGAACCUUACCAACCCUUGACAUACUUGUCGCGGAUUCCAGAGAUGGAUUCCUUCAGUUCGGCUGGACAAUGUACAGGUGCUGCAUGGCUGUCGUCAGCUCGUGUCGUGAGAUGUUCGGUUAAGUCCGGCAACGAGCGCAACCCACGUCCUUAGUUACCAGCAUUUGGUUGGGUACCCUAAGGAGACUGCCGGUGAUAAGCCGGAGGAAGGUGUGGACGACGUCAAGUCAUCAUGGCCUUACGGGUUGGGCUACACACGUGCUACAAUGGCAUCUACAGUGAGUUAAUCUCCAAAAGAUGUCUCAGUUCGGAUUGGGGUCUGCAACUCGACCCCAUGAAGUUGGAAUCGCUAGUAAUCGCGGAACAGCAUGCCGCGGUGAAUACGUUCCCGGGCCUUGUACACACCGCCCGUCACACCAUGGGAAUUGGGUCUACCCGAAGGUGGUGCGCCAACUAUUUAUAGAGGCAGCCAACCACGGUAGGUUCAGUGACUGGGGUGUAGUCGUAACAAGGUAUCCGU